AGAAAGUCACGGCUAACUACGUGCCAGCAGCCGCGGUAAUACGUAGGUGGCAAGCGUUAUCCGGAUUUAUUGGGCGUAAAGAGAGUGCAGGCGGUUUCUAAGUCUGAUGUGAAAGCCUUCGGCUUAACCGGAGAAGUGCAUCGGAAACUGGAUAACUUGAGUGCAGAAGAGGGUAGUGGAACUCCAUGUGUAGCGGUGGAAUGCGUAGAUAUAUGGAAGAACACCAGUGGCGAAGGCGGCUACCUGGUCUGCAACUGACGCUGAGACUCGAAAGCAUGGGUAGCGAACAGGAUUAGAUACCCUGGUAG
rnacentral:rRNA from 1 species